UAUCCUGGCUCAGGAUGAACGCUGGCGGCGUGCUUAACACAUGCAAGUCGAACGGAGUCAUCAUUUUGAAGCAAUUAGCUUGCUAAGAGUGGAAAUGUUGAUGACUUAGUGGCGGACGGGUGAGUAACGCGUGGGUAACCUGCCAUAUACAGGGGGAUAACACUUAGAAAUAGGUGCUAAUACCGCAUAAGCGCACAGUUUUGCAUGAGACAGUGUGAAAAACUACGGUGGUAUAUGAUGGACCCGCGUCUGAUUAGCUGGUUGUGGGGUAACGGCCCACCAAGGCGACGAUCAGUAGCCGGCCUGAGAGGGUGGACGGCCACAUUGGGACUGAGACACGGCCCAAACUCCUACGGGAGGCAGCAGUGGGGAAUAUUGGACAAUGGGGGAAACCCUGAUCCAGCGACGCCGCGUGAGUGAAGAAGUAUUUCGGUAUGUAAAGCUCUAUCAGCAGGGAAGAAAAAUGACGGUACCUGACUAAGAAGCCCCGGCUAACUACGUG
rnacentral:rRNA from 1 species